AAAUUGAAGAGUUUGAUCAUGGCUCAGAUUGAACGCUGGCGGCAGGCCUAACACAUGCAAGUCGAACGGUAACAGGAAGAAGCUUGCUUCUUUGCUGACGAGUGGCGGACGGGUGAGUAAUGUCUGGGAAACUGCCUGAUGGAGGGGGAUAACCACUGGAAACGGCAGCUAAUACCGCAUAACGUGGCAAGACCAAAGAGGGGGACCUUCGGGCCUCUUGCCAUCGGAUGUGCCCAGAUGGGAUUAGCUAGUAGGUGGGGUAACGGCUCACCUAGGCGACGAUCCCUCGCUGGU
rnacentral:rRNA from 1 species